GACUCGAUGGCGGACGGUCCGCGCCUGCUCCUCGUAGGAAUCCUCCUGACAGUCCCAGCGGGAAGUGCCGGUUCGAUUCCGGCUCGAGGCA